rnacentral:rRNA from 1 species
CCUACGGGAGGCUGCAGUGGGGAAUCUUGGGCAAUGGGCGCAAGCCUGACGCAGCAACGCCGCGUGAAGGAAGAAGGCUUUCGGGUCGUAAACUUCUUUUGACAGGGAAGAGUAGAAGCCGGUACCUGUGGAAUAAGCCACGGCUAACUACGUGCCAGCAGCCGUGGUAAUACGUAGGUGGCAAGCGUUGUCCGGAUUUACUGGGUGUAAAGGGCGUGUAGCCGGGUUGACAAGUCAGAUGUGAAAUCCUGCGGCUUAACCGGAGAACUGCAUUUGAAACUGUUGAUCUUGAGUACUGGAGAGGCAGACGGAAUUCCUAGUGUAGCGGUGAAAUGCGUAGAUAUUAGGAGGAACACCAGUGGCGAAGGCGAUCUGCUGGACAGCAACUGACGGUGAGGCGCGAAAGCGUGGGGAGCAAACAGGAUUAGAUACCCUAGUAGUC